GCGCCUGUAGCUCAGUGGAACAGAGCGUCUGCCUUCUAAGCAGAGGGCCGCAGGUUCGAAUCCUGCCAGGCGCGCCA
rnacentral:tRNA from 1 species